GCAAACUUGGUCAUUUAGAGGAAGUAAAAGUCGUAACAAGGUCUCCGUUGGUGAACCAGCGGAGGGAUCAUUACAGAGUUGAAAAACUCCCACACCCUUGUGAACAUACCUUUGUAGUUGCUUCGGCGGACAGCCCCUCGGGGCCUCUGCCUCGCGUCAGCGGGGUGCCCGCCGGAGGACCACUCAUAACUCUUUGUAAUUAUGGCCUCUCUGAGUACUAUACAAAUAAGUUAAAACUUUCAACAACGGAUCUCUUGGUUCUGGCAUCGAUGAAGAACGCAGC
rnacentral:misc_RNA from 1 species